AGUACGCACGCAAGUGUGAAACUCAAAGGAAUUGACGGGGGCCCGCACGAGCGGUGGAGUAUGUGGUUUAAUUCGAUGCAACGCGAAGAACCUUACCAGGGCUUGACAUCCCUCGAAUCCUCUUGAAAGAGAGGAGUGCCUUCGGGAGCGAGGAGACAGGUGGUGCAUGGCUGUCGUCAGCUCGUGUCGUGAGAUGUUGGGUUAAGUCCCGCAACGAGCGCAACCCACGUCCUUAGUUGCCAUCAUUAAGUUGGGCACUCUGGGGAGACUGCCGGGGACAACUCGGAGGAAGGUGUGGAUGACGUCAAGUCAUCAUGCCCCUUACGUUCUGGGCUACACACGUACUACAAUGCUUCGGACAAAGAGCAGCCAACUAGCGAUAGUGAGCUAAUCUCAUAAACCGAGGCACAGUUCAGAUUGCAGGCUGCAACUCGCCUGCAUGGAGGAGGAAUCGCUAGUAAUCGCCGGUCAGCAUACGGCGGUGAAUACGUUCCCGGGCCUUGUACACACCGCCCGUCACACCAUGGGAGUUGGCC
rnacentral:rRNA from 1 species